rnacentral:rRNA from 1 species
GAUGAACGCUGGCGGCGUGCCUAAUACAUGCAAGUCGAGCGCAUGGACGCGAAGAUUGCUUCCGUACGGGUGGCGACGGCCGGAGGAGUAAGGCAUCGAUAGGCUACUAAUUAGUCGGGGAGACAUUCGGGAACCCAGAGCUGAUAAGAUCGCAUAUUUUCUACCGCAAAAUUCAAAAGUGACUGGCAGUUUUUGUGUCUAUGAUAGAUGAGCCCGCGCUGCAUUAGCGAGUUGGUAAGGUAACGGCUUACCAAGGCAACGAUGCGUAGCCGAGCUGAGAGGGUGAUCGGCCACACUGGAACUGAGACACGGUCCAGACUCCUACGGGAGGCAGCAGUAGGGAAUAUUCGGCAAUGGGCGAAAGCCUGACCGAGCAACGCCGCGUGAGUGAAGAAGUUCUUCGGAUUGUAAACCUCUGUUAUUGGGGAAGAACAGAUGUGUAAGGAACUGAGCUCCUCGUGACGGUACCCAAUAAGAAAGCCACGGCUAACUACGUG